UACGUAGGGUGCAAGCGUUAAUCGGAGUUACUGGGCGUAAAGCGUGCGCAGGCGGUUCUGUAAGAUAGAUGUGAAAUCCCCGGGCUCAACCUGGGAAUUGCAUAUAUGACUGCAGGACUUGAGUUUGUCAGAGGAGGGUGGAAUUCCACGUGUAGCAGUGAAAUGCGUAGAUAUGUGGAAGAACACCGAUGGCGAAGGCAGCCCUCUGGGACAUGACUGACGCUCAUGCACGAAAGCGUGGGGAGCAAACAGG
rnacentral:rRNA from 1 species